GAUCACGUGACAACGUCCUCGCGUCGGGAGCGUCUUGAGUUUGAAGCGGGAGAGAUAGUCCGGGUUCUGCGGUUUGCUCUUCUGAGUCUUAGGAAGACGCUUUGGGUCUUGGGUUUUCUCGUUUGCAAAAUAGCUCGGUUGCGGUAGAGCUUCUUCCAGAAUUUGUUCACGUAAAAACAGAAACUCUUAUUUGGAGGAAGCGGGGGGCGGGGUAGGCAAACCUGUUAAUGUUAAAUCAGCCUUUUUGUACUUGAGGGGAAUUGUCGCUGCACGUAACUAACGGUAUUUUAUAGUUUCCAAAUGGUUUUCACAUCAAUGUCUCGUUAAAAACGCCUUACUACGCUGACAUAUGGGCGGGAGUCAACUUGACCUGCUUUUUCGUUAUAAAAAUUACCCUCGGAGAGGAUGCGGACUGAAAGUUGAAAUUGUCGACCCGAAAGUUGACAAUUACGUUUUAUUCGCACACUUGCUGAGGACCUAAACCUGGGAUGUAGCGGCUCAGAUCUCUUAGGUGGACUGUUCUGAAGAGGUAAGGAAAGAGAGAGAGAUAGGAGAUUUUGCGAUAAACAAAAAAACCUGGUAAUGAACAUUGAAAGCUUACUGCUGAUUGAAGCAAAAACAGACAUAUCAAAUUAAUAAAUUUAGCCCUUUUCUAACGAUGGGAAGGUGUGAGAAUCUGGGCUUUUUGAAACCAUUUCUGUAACAUGCACCUUAACUAUAUAGGGGCAGUAUCCUGUUCUUCUCCAUCCUAGGUCCCCGUAGGGUACACCUUUGGGGUGGCUGCAGGGACUGAUGGCUUGAUGGCCUCAACAUCCCUUGUUAAAUGAGAUGGUGGGCAACAUUCUGGGUCCACAGAGAUAACUGCGCAGUGUCGCAUCGCUAGACCGAAACCCAGAUUUUCGCCCUCCAAAUCCUGCAUUCCGGGCCCUGCUUACAGUGGACCCUUGAACAAGUCUGGGGUUAGGGCCGGAAAGUUCGAGUAUAACUUCCCAGGAGGUCGUCUAUAUUGCAGUCCUCAUCUGUGGGCUCAGCCAACCACAGAGUACUCACUGCGACCUUGAAACUUCAACGCUAAGCCUUGGGCUUUUACAGUGACAGAUGGACAUCACUGGGGUACCUACGUAUCAAACCUCGGCGGAAUUUAGUGGCUUAACACAAUAAAAACUUUAUCAGGCAUCCGUGAGUUAACGUGGCUCAGCUGAGUCGUUCUAGCUUGGGAAAGCUCCUGAGCUGCUCCAAGCAGUACAAGAGGAAACUGGAGGGCAGGACUUCGUAGGCUCUACCCUGAGGGUCCUCGAAGUUCCCUGUCACAUUUUGUUGGCCGAGGAAGCCACUAAGGACAGAUGGAGAAGAAGAAUGGUAAGCGUCUCCCUCUCAGUGGAAGGAGGAGCUUGUGCCAACUCCAGUUUACCGUACUGCCUUAUUUGUGUGUUGGUUUUUAGUUAUUUUGGAUGAAUGUAGAUUUUAUUAGCACAAGCGUCCAAAAAGAAGCCCACCAUGUUUUCUUUUUAAUAGUGGUUAAAAUAUACAUCACGUAAAAUUUACUGUGUGACGUGUGCAGUGGCUUUAGACCACCACCCACCUCCAGAACUUUUCCAUCUUCCUGAGUUGAAACUGUGUAGCCCCUAAGAAGGCACCCCCAUUUUCCCCGCCGCGCCACCCCAACCCCCGGCAACGCCCAUUCUGCUCUGUCUCUGUGCCCCCGGAAGUGGACUCACACAACACGUGUCCUUUUGCGUUCAGCGUUUUCCGCUGAGCAUCGUGUCUUCGCGGUUCAUUCACGCUGUGACAGGUGGCAGGCGUGUCUUCCUUUUGAAGGCUGAAUGAUACUGAAUUAUAGGGAUCUCGUAUUUUGUUCCCUCAUCAGUGGGCAUUUGGGUUGCAUUCCACAUGCCUAUUGUGAAUAGACGUUUGUGAAUAAUACUUUCGGGGACAUGAGCGAGCAGGUACCUUCCAGAUCCAGCUCGCCAUUCUUCUGGAUGUAUGCCUAAAAGCGGGAUGGCUGGGACAUAGGUCAUGUUGAAUUUUGCUGCAGCAGUCGCACCAUCGCACCGUCGUACGUGCUCGCCAACAGUGCGCGAGAGUUGCACUUUCGCCGCAGCCUUGCUCGCGUUGGUUUUUUGUGAAGUCAUGUUUGGGAUCCACUUUGAAGACUGCCUGGCACACAGCACAUACUCCACGGAGGUCAGCUGUUAAUAUUUGAUUGUUGGGAAGCCGCCUUUUCUUGCUGCUGCUCGGCUGUGUUAGAGGUUGCACGGGCUCUCGGCUCUGAAGUUGUGUGUGAUGUUUCUGAAGUCGCUUUCAAAGCAUCUUAGAUUCUCCCAAGGUACAUAACUGUGAACGGUAUGUACAGGGGAAUGAGUUUGAAAGCCAAGCACAGCGGGGUAGAUGAAGCAGGGAAAAAAAAAAAAAAGACAAGACUGCUUGUAAACCUGAGCUCUUUAAUAAACACAAGCUCUGAGGAAGCACAAAGGAAGACGACCCUUUGCUUUUCCGUUUCCGUUUGGACCACACUCAAGGUCAAGGUUAUUUCUCAAGAAAGUGGAAAGAUUAGAAAUGAAGCUUCGGAAGCUCAAAAAGCUUUUUCUUUUUCUUUUUUAACAAUUAACUGUGUUGUGUUUUCCCUGUCGCUACAUCCAGUGCACGUUUUAGAGCCUGAUCUCUAGAGGUGUGAGAGUAG
rnacentral:lncRNA from 1 species